GAUGAACGCUAGCGGCAGGCCUAAUACAUGCAAGUCGAACGGUGUAGCAAUACAUUAGUGGCGCACGGGUGCGUAACGCGUAUGCAACCUACCUUCAUCAGGGGGAUAACUACCCGAAAGGGUGGCUAACACCGCAUAAUACUACUGAAUGGCAUCAUUUGGUAUUUAAAUCUGAGGAGGAUGAAGAUGGGCAUGCGUCUGAUUAGCUAGUUGGUGUGGUAACGGCGCACCAAGGCGACGAUCAGUAGGGGAACUGAGAGGUUGGUCCCCCACACUGGCACUGAGAUACGGGCCAGACUCCUACGGGAGGCAGCAGUAGGGAAUAUUGGUCAAUGGUGGGAACACUGAACCAGCCAUUCCGCGUGCAGGAAGAAGGGUCUCUGACUCGUAAACUGCUUUAGCAAGGGAAGAAAAAGCUCAUGCGUGAGAAAUUGACGGUACCUUGAGAAUAAGCACCGGCUAACUACGUGCCAGCCGCCGCAGUAAUAC
rnacentral:rRNA from 1 species